rnacentral:lncRNA from 1 species
UAUUUUAGAAGCCGUGGCUCAUGAUAGAAGAGUCCAUAUCGUGGACUACGAUAUAAUGGAAGGAAUCCAAUGGGCUUCCUUAAUGCAAGCCUUGGUGUCCAGAAAAGAUGGCCCCCCAACUCCCCACCUUAGGAUCACAGCAUUGUCGAGGAGUGGCAGUGGUCGUCGGUCGUUCGGGACAGUCCACGAGACCGGCCGUCGACUAACAGCUUUCGCUGCAUCCAUCGGCCAGCCAUUUUCGUUUCACCACUGCAGGUUGGACUCGGAUGAGACGUUUAAGCCAUCCGCUCUGAAGUUGGUCCGAGGAGAAGCUAUAAUUAUAAAUUGCAUGUUACACUUGCCUCAUUUUAUCUAUCGAGCCUCGGAUUCAGUCGCUUCGUUCCUAUCCGAAUCCAAGAUCCUGAAUCCGAGGCUCGUGACCUUAGUCGAAGAGGAAGUACGGCCCAUUUGGGAGGAGGAAGGGUUCGUGGGACGGUGAUGCAAGCCUUGGUGUCCAGAAAAGAUGGGGCCCCAACUCCCCACCUUAGGAUCACAGCAUUGUCGAGGAGUGGCAGUUCUCGUCGAUCGUUCGGGACGGUCCAAGAGACCGGCCGUCGGCUAACAGCGUUCGCUGCGUCCA